UACAGGGGGGGCAAGCGUUGUUCGGAAUUACUGGGCGUAAAGGGUCUGUAGGUGGCCAACUAAGUCAGACGUGAAAUCCCUCAGCUUAACUGGGGAACUGCGUCUGAUACUGGAUGGCUUGAGUGUGGGAGAGGAAUGCGGAAUUCCAGGUGUAGCGGUGAAAUGCGUAGAUAUCUGGAGGAACACCGGUGGCGAAGGCGGCAUUCUGGACCAUAACUGACACUGAGAGACGAAAGCCAGGGGAGCAAAUGGG
rnacentral:rRNA from 1 species